UAUUUCCGAGCCUGAACCUGGGUUUUGGGUUCUGCGUAGCACGUCUUUGCGUUGAUUAAAAGUAGCUGCUGCAGUGCACAGUGUUGAAGAAAGCGAUCGAUGGCAACGCCAACAACCAUUGAUGUUUCUCACUUCCACCACACCCCUUUUUAUUGCGAGGAGAAUGUAUAUUUACUUUGCAAGAAGUUGUGCAAUGAUGGAAUAUCAGAUUCUGAAGGAUCUGAUCUUUUUGUUGUUUUCAUCUCCAAUGAAAAGAAGCAGAUUCCUCUUUGGAAUCAAAAAGCUAGCCACAGGGCAGAUGGGGCUGUUCUCUGGGAUUACCAUGUCAUUUGCAUUCAGAUUAAUCAAGGAGGUGAAAAACCACUAGUUUGGGACUUGGAUUCAAGUCUUCCUUUUCCCUCACCUCUAGCUUCAUAUGUGUCUGAAACGAUUCGCCCUUCCUUUCAACUUUUUUCGGAUUUUGAUAGAUUAUUCAGAAUUGUGCAUGCUCCAAUCUUCCUUAGUUGUUUUGCAUCUGAUAGAAGACACAUGAAAGGUUCUGAUGGACAUUGGAUUGAAGAGCCUCCUCCACAUGAACCCAUAGUUGCUCAAGGUAAUGACUUUGGAAUAAUUAUUAUGAAACGAUCUUUGAAUAAACAAACCAUUAUGUCAUAUGUCGUGAUAGAAAGAUAUAUAUGAAUGGAAAAAAGUUACUCUGUCCCAAAAUAACUCACUCAUUUGUAAAAUAAGAUUUGUUAAAAAAUGAGCGAUUUAUUCAAUACAACAUGACUUAGGUAAUGAUUUGGUUGGAUCUUUUCUUCACGUGGCUAUGAUGGUGAUGACAACGAACUUCUGGACGACGUCGUUGUCUACUGAAUCUAGCAAUAGUAGGUGUUUUUGCAAAUACUGUGACGAUCAAGUCAGCAGAAGCCAUGAGUAUAAAAUUUAGAAAUUUAGAUUGGUGUGUAACUGAGUCUGGAUCAUUCAUUAAACUUUAUAAUAGCAUUUUAGGGUUUAAAGGACGUAGAACUUUUCUUAAGGACACCUGUCUCUGAGGACAGACGUCGGAGGAUUAUGUAAACUCAAUCUGACGACCUCUAAGAUUUAGUAAGUCCUGAUCAGGUGUGCCUCUAGGUGUGUCCAUCUCUGGUCCGUUUUGCUUCCUAGAAUUUGGGCGAUCCAAUGCCAUGCAGAUUGAACCUUGGCCUAGUUCGAAACAGUUGCCCCCAAGCCUUAGUUGGCUAGAUCAAAUUAGGCCUUGUUAUUGACUUCAUGGUCAUGAGGCGUCCCUCGGGAGAGACAUGGACACGACCGGUCCUCAAAGAUUGUUAGAUGAUAGAGUUUACACGAUCCUCUAACAUUUGGAGCUUGAGUAACAGAUGCCACGUGCUCCUCACCCCUUAGGAUUUGUAGGGGUUUGAACACCGCAUUGGCUUCCCUCGUUGGGGCUUUUGAUAGUCUUUGGUCAGUUGGGAAUGUGUAUAAGAUGAGGGUCCUUCCUUCUCUAUUUUCUUUUCCUUCCUCUCAUCUUCGUCAUCACUCAAAUUCUCACGUUCUUCAUCUUGUAUAUUUCUUGCAUUUCCUUAUUUGGAGCUUCACGUCACAGUUAAUUUGUUGUUUGGAGAACUCCAUUCUUCGACAAGCUUUCACCAUUCUGCCCUAUUCAUACAUGGCUACUCUGCCAUUGUUGAUUUCCAUUGUUUUCGCAAGUUCUGGUAUUAUUGUACAGGGUGCACGUUGGCUGCUUCCGCAUAAAUGGGUGGUGGUUCCACCUAUGUUGUUGAUAGAUUGGGUGCUCUUUGGUUGUUUUUUCCUGAAUAAGUUGUGGUCGUGGCAACCUCCCAAUGUAAGGGAUAAGGGUGACAAAGGAAACCAAGCCCUGGGGAUCCUCGGACCUAUCGGAUUCCCAGACCAGAAGGAAAAUGUUGCAGAAGACGUACCAAGAUUUCGAGGUAUGCACAAAAGUACCAAAAAACUAGGGUGCAACUAAGAAGGCUCUAGAGAAAAAUGUUUCAAAAGUCUCGAUUUGAAUUUCACGAGGGGUAGGCAUUGUCCCAUCUCCCAAAAGACAACACCGUAUAUUGGAAUUGUUGGUGAUUUUAGUAUCAUCAAUGCAUUUUGGUAGUAAUGUGAUUUACUAUAGGCCAAUGCAAUUAUGCGUUAAGUUUGAAACGAGUUAGGGUAGUGCGGAGUGCACGCUCGUCGAACCAAACGCGUAAUUGAAUAUGAAUAAUAGAAACGGGCAUAACGUUUCGUUUGAAUAGUUGCACCCGUUCCCAACGGACAUAACGAUUCGUUUGAAUAGUUGCACCCGUUCCCAACGGACAUAACGAUUCGUUUGAAUAGUUGCACCCGUUUCCGAAAAGGUGUGUCUGUUCGUUUCUAUCAUUGGUCUCCUAUAUAAGGAGUCUUUUGGUCUCGAUUUGUAAUACGAAAUUACAGACUUCCUCUCUACAUUCUGAUCUGUUAUCUAUUGUCAGAAACAGAUUGAUUCUUCAAGAAUUAUCCCCGCAAAGAUUUCGUGAACCCAGACAAGUAUAGGGUCGAAAUACUUUGUUCGGAAAGUGAACGAACACGAUUCUUGAAGAUAUCCAGGAUUAUCAUACCAAAUCUCUAACAAACGAACAAAGUAUUUUUUCUGAUAAUCAUGGCUGGAGGAGGAAGCACCGUCAAGGAGAUGACUAAAAGUUUCGGAAAAUUGGACAAGUUUCAAGAACAAAAUCGUCACUAUGAAUCCGGGUAUGAUGAACUAUUGUAUCGUGAAUGCAUUAAGAACCAAUAAGAAUCAACAUGAUAAAUCCGGGUACGUUUUAUUUUUUCGUAGAAAUUAAAGUAUUGUGAAAAUCAUAUCAUCAAGUAUUUAAAUAAAACUAAAUAAAGUUUAUAUUAGAGCAUGGUUACCCAUAGUAUGAUUUUCCGAUAAAUAUCCAAAAUAUUGUGUAUUAAAAUAAAUUGAUCCUGAAAGUUUGAAAAAUAUACAUGUAAUUGAAACGAAGCCAUAUAUGAUGUACUGAAACGUUGUUUCAACAUACGUGUUGUUUCAAUAUAUGUGUGGUAUAGCGGUGUGGUUUGGCAAUAUAAUAAUAUAUGAUUCAUUGAUAACUUUGUGUCAAUUUCCGUGUGGUUUGCCAUAUAAUUUUGAAACAAAAGUACCGACCGCAUCAUUAUAUAUAGUCGGAUACAUAAUCAAUAUAUUGCAUAUGCCUGUGUAUGAUAAUGGUUACCGAAAACUAUCUAUAAAUUCAUAUAUAUUUAAAAUUUUAUUCAGGUAUUGAUAUAUUUACACUUUUAUAAUAAUAAAUGCAUGAUAAAAUUAGUGUGUGAACUGGCAGUGAACAAGUUUUAUAUUCAAUGAAAAUUAUCAUUAUAAGACAUAUAAAGAUCAUUCAAAGAUGGAUCUUAGAGUCUAAUGUAAUUAUUAGAUUUUGAGAUAUAAAAUUUUGAGAACCUUGUCGCGGAGGUUAAGGAAUUCAAGAUUCCCACAAAUGAAAACCUCGUGAGGAAGGUUCUCUACGGAUUUAUUGAAAAAUAAAUUGAAAGUUCGUCAAUGAUUAUUGAAAAACAAAUCGAACUUAGAAUAAACAGAAAAUCUGAAAGGCUAAGGAUCUAGGAUCGAAUAAAAUCGAUUGUCGGCAUAUUUCUUGUAUAGAAGAAAAUAGUGAAAAUUUUGUUCGUAAGAUUCCUAUUAUUCUUCGAGUGGAAGAUGAUCCUAAAGAUUUUCAAUGAAGAUGUAAUUUCAAGGGACUUCUCUUGGAAUGAUGUUAUCCAAGAUGAAAUGAAUUCAAUAAUGUCGAACAAUACUUGAGAACUUGUUGAUCUACCUAAAGGAUCAAGACCUAUUGGGUUCAAGUGGAUGUUUAGAAGGAAGUAUCAUAGUGAUGGUACAUUAAACAUCUACAAGGAUGGAUUAGUAACCAAGGGUUUUUAGACAAAAAGAAGAUGUUGAUUAUUUUGACACAUAUGCACUAGAAGCAAGCAUAAUGAAAAUUAUAGUUUUGUUUGCAUUAGCUUCAUCAAAUAAAUGUCAAAGGACAUUCCUAAAUAUAAAUCUCAAUGAGGAGAUUUAUAUGGAGCAAUCAGAAUGUUAUAUAGUUCCUACUGAUGAACAAAAGGUGUACAAACUUAUUAAAUCCUUGUAUGGAUUAAAACAAGCACCGAAACAAUGAAAUUAAAAGUUUGACUUUGUCAUUGUAAGAUUCUCCGAUUAAGGAGGAGACACACAAGUUAGAGGGAGAAUUUUCAAUCUUAUCAAAACAAGAAUUCAAAGAGUUUGUCAUCAUCAAAAAUGGGGAGAUUGUAAAGAAUAUAUCUUAUAUAUAGUUUUGAUGAAGACAAAGGUUAUCAAAGAGGAAAGGAUCAAAAGUUUCUUGCACGUCAAUGAUGAAGUUGAUUAAGAAGGAUUAAUAUAGAAAUUCAAGUGAAGACUUGAGAUAAGUGAACAUAACCAAGAUUAUUCAGAAUUGUGCAUGCUCCAAUCUUCCUUAGUUGUUUUGCAUCUGAUAGAAGACACAUGAAAGGUUCUGAUGGACAUUGGAUUGAAGAGCCUCCUCCACAUGAACCCAUAGUUGCUCAAG